rfam:Hordeum vulgare subsp. vulgare, WGS project CAJW01000000 data, contig: morex_contig_1577375
UAUGUACUCCCUCCGUCCGGAAAUACUUGUCCUAAAAAUGGAUGAAUCUAGACUUAUUUUAGUUAUAGAUACAUCCAUUAGAUCCAUUUUUAGGACAAGUAGUUCCGGACGGAGG